AAUCUGGUUAUUGUCUGGUUUGUCUUCCUGCAGAUCCAUAUAAUCCUGUGCCAACACAUGUACAUGGGGAGAAUGAUGGACGAACUCACAUUUGCUCAUGGUGGGAUGAAGUAAGAACAAGGCGCUGCUCGUCCGCUGUCAAUGACAAGGAAACAGGAAUGGAUAUCUAUUGCCACACACUACAACUGACCAAGGAGGACAAGCUCCAAAGACGCCAGGCUCUCAUAUUUUGGUGGCAUUGGUGCCUGUGAUGCCAAGGACAAUUUUGUUGACUACAGCAAGACUAUUUUGUGUUGUUUGCUGCUAUGUUGCCACUGUUAUGAGUUGUUGUUGUCGCUGUUAUGCUAUUGUUCGCAGCUAAUUUGAGACAACAGUUUCUUGAAUUGUAAGACUAUUAUAGUGAAAUUAUUAUGAUGUCUUGCUGUGUUUGAGCAGCAGAUUCUUGAA